GUGCUUUGGCAGAGAUAUUUCCUUUAGAAACAAACUACAGCUCUGAAGUUAAUUCCGACAGUGGCGCUCCAGGAUUAGUGGCCAGUGUCUCAGUCGUGAGUCAUGGUGCUUACAUGAGAAGCCUGUUUGGUUAUUUUCUGACUGACCUUAAGUUUUCCUUGCCAGCAUCUCUGAGAAAAUUUGAACUUUCGUCAGUCACUCCCAAUACUGGGAUCAGUCUCUUCAUCAUAAGCUUUGAGAAAGGAAAAGAACCUAUACCGAAGUGUGUUUGUAUGAACCUACAGGAUCAUCUAAAUGAAGUGACCAAAACACUCUCAGUUUAGAUCUGCAUCAAAAUUCUAACAGUUUUGAGCUUCUGAAGGGAGUGCCUUUGGCUUACUUUAUUUCCGUCCUUUGCUAGUGCUAAUUCGGAAAUAGUUAAAAAUCAUAUUAUAAACUCUUCUGGAAUGUCAGCCACAUCACACAGUAGUGGAAAGCCAUUUAGAAUUGACUUAUGUUGUCUUGAGUGCAGCCUGCUUGAUCCCAUCUCUGAGUGA
rnacentral:lncRNA from 1 species